GCAAGUCGAACGGUAACAGACCUAGCUUGCUAGGCGCUGACGCGUGGCGGACGGGUGAGUAAUGCGUAGGAAUCUGCCUUAGUGGGGGACAACUCGAGGAAACUCGGGCUAAUACCGCAUAAGCUCUACGGAGUAAAGUGGGGGACCUUCGGGCCUCACGCUAUAAGAUGAGCCUACGUCGGAUUAGCUUGUUGGUGGGGUAAAGGCCUACCAAGGCGACGAUCCGUAGCUGGUCUGAGAGGAUGAUC
rnacentral:rRNA from 1 species